UGCUUGCACCGACUUAACGUUAGCGGCGGACGGGUGAGUAACACGUGGGCAACCUGCCCUGUAGUCUGGGAUAACUCCGGGAAACCGGGGCUAAUACCGGAUGAUACUUUUUAAUUCAUGUUAGAAAGUUGAAAGAUGGUUUACGCUUUCCCUCCGGGAGGGGCCCGCGGCGCAUUACCUAGUUGGGGAGGUAACGGCUCACCAAGGAAACAAUGCUUACCCAACCUAAGAGGGGGAUCGGCCACACUGGGACUGAAACCCGGCCCAAACUCCUACGGGAGGCAGCAUUAGGGAAUCUUCCCCAAGGGACAAAAGUCUGAGGGAGCACCGCCGCGGGAGGGAAGAAGGAUUCCGGUUCGAAAACCUCGGUUGUAAGGGAAAAACAAGUACAGAAUUAACGGGCGGAACCUUGACGGAACCUUAUAAAAAAGCCACGGUUAACUACUUGCCACCACCCGCGGAAAUACGAAGGGGGGCAGGCGUUGCCCGAAAUUAUGGGGGUUAAAGCGCGCGCAGGCGGUCUUUUAAUCCGAAUGUGAAAGCCCACGGUUCACCCGGGAAGGGCCAUUGAAAACUGGGGGACUGGAUUGCAAAAAAGGAAGGGGAAAUUCCAAG
rnacentral:rRNA from 1 species